AGAAAAUGUGAUGAAGAUGAGAAUCCAUGUCUUGCUUAGAGAGUAUGUGACUAAAUGAAGACUCGAAAGAAGGGCCCCGGACCCAGGACAAGUUGGUGGGCAAGUCACUUCACAGUUCUUGUCCCAUUUUCUCCCCUGGAAGAUGAGUGGAUUUGGAAGAGGCAGCGCCGGAGUUUGGGAUAGAGUGGACCUCGGAAUAAGAAAAAUCAGGGUUCAAGGCCUGCUUCUAACUGUUGUAGGAAACUCCAGUGUUGUUGGGUCACUCGUUGAAGGAACAUUUACUAAGCUACUUCUCCUAUGUGCAGAAGAUUGUUUCAAGUUGGGGAUAAAUAAAGAUUAAAAAAGGUGAGAGGAUUAGAGAUGGCUAUGACAGGAUUUUCAGAAGAUCUGGAGAGCAAGCCACUGGAAUCUGAGAACUGGAGUUGCUUUGUGGGCAGCCAGAUGAUGAGAAGUCCCUUGGAGAUUCUAUUGACCUAGUCUAGUAGCAGGGAUUCGACCAUCCAUCCAUUGGCCAUGCUGCUGGUUUCUACCUUCUCUUCUUGCUGUAUUUUGACAGUAAAAAUUUCUUUGUAAAAUAUACAUAUUUUAUAUAUUUUAUCAUCAACCACUUCUUGGGCACAUAUUCUGUGUAAUAAAGAUAUUAAACUAGGUGCUAAGAGAGAUACA
rnacentral:lncRNA from 1 species